rnacentral:lncRNA from 1 species
UGGCCUCUAUAGAAAAAUCCAUGCGAAGACUGGUGCAGAUCAGGGGCUCAGAGAUGCUAGUCUGCGAACAACUUCGAUAGCUGACCUCUUCUACAAGUACCUUGGACACUCUAAAGUGAUAGGAGAUCUAGAGGAGGAAUAAAGAAGGAGGAGAAGAGACUCUAGAAAUAAAAAAAUCUACAAGAAAAUUGAUCAUGGGACAUCC